GUGCCUGUAGCUCAGUGGUUAGGGCACCAGCCACAUACACUGGGGCUGGCAAGUUCAAAUCUGGCCCAGGUCUA
rnacentral:tRNA from 1 species